AAAAAAAGGAGAGGGUAAUAAGAUUGAAGAAAAAUCAAAUCAGAUGGACCAUGAAGUAUCCUUUAAAUUAGCCACACAGAGAAAACAGUGAAGUGUUUGGUACACAAGUCAUUAAGGGAGGAAAGAGAAUCACAGGUAUGGAGCCUAGACAAGAAAAUGGAUAAGUCUUAAAAUGUGUGGCUGAAUAGAAGGAGAACUAUUUGGGGAAAGGGAGAGAAUGAAAGUGGGGAUAACAGAUAGUAAUGGCAGUGAAUAUGAUCAAAUACAUUAACACAUGUACAGAACACCCUAAUCAGCCUUGAUAUUUGUGCAAUUACUAUGUACUAAAAAAGGUGGAGGGAAAGAUGGUGACUACAGGAAGGAACUAUAUUUGAGCAGAGGCAGGAUUCGGAGAGAUUAUCUAUA